rnacentral:rRNA from 1 species
ACUCCUACGGGAGGCAGCAGUGGGGAAUAUUGGACAAUGGGCGCAAGCCUGAUCCAGCCAUGCCGCGUGAGUGAUGAAGGCCUUAGGGUUGUAAAGCUCUUUUGUCCGGGACGAUAAUGACGGUACCGGAAGAAUAAGCCCCGGCCUAACUUCGUGCCAGCAGCCGCGGUAAUACGAAGGGGGCUAGCGUUGCUCGGAAUCACUGGGCGUAAAGGGCGCGUAGGCGGCCUUGUAAGUUGGGGGUGAAAGCCCGUGGCUCAACCACGGAAUUGCCUUCGAUACUGCUUGGCUUGAGUGUGGUAGAGGUUGGUGGAACUGCGAGUGUAGAGGUGAAAUUCGUAGAUAUUCGCAAGAACACCGGUGGCGAAGGCGGCCAACUGGACCAUCACUGACGCUGAGGCGCGAAAGCGUGGGGAGCAAACAGGAUUAGAUACCCUGGUAGGAUAGCG